rnacentral:rRNA from 1 species
AGGGCGCACGGUGGAUGCCUUGGCACUAGAAGCCGAUGAAGGACGUUACUAACGACGAUAUGCUUUGGGGAGCUGUAAGUAAGCUUUGAUCCAGAGAUUUCCGAAUGGGGAAACCCAGCAUGAGUUAUGUCAUGUUAUCGAUAUGUGAAUACAUAGCAUAUCAGAAGGCACACCCGGAGAACUGAAACAUCUUAGUACCCGGAGGAAGAGAAAGAAAAUUCGAUUCCCUUAGUAGCGGCGAGCGAAACGGGAAGAGCCCAAACCAACAAGCUUGCUUGUUGGGGUUGUAGGACACUCUAUACGGAGUUACAAAGGACGACAUUAGACGAAUCAUCUGGAAAGAUGAAUCAAAGAAGGUAAUAAUCCUGUAGUCGAAAAUGUUGUCUCUCUUGAGUGGAUCCUGAGUACGACGGAGCACGUGAAAUUCCGUCGGAAUCUGGGAGGACCAUCUCCUAAGGCUAAAUACUCUCUAGUGACCGAUAGUGAACCAGUACCGUGAGGGAAAGGUGAAAAGCACCCCGGAAGGGGAGUGAAAUAGAACCUGAAACCGUGUGCUUACAAGUAGUCAGAGCCCGUUAAUGGGUGAUGGCGUGCCUUUUGUAGAAUGAACCGGCGAGUUACGAUUUGAUGCAAGGUUAAGCAGUAAAUGUGGAGCCGUAGCGAAAGCGAGUCUGAAUAGGGCGUUUAGUAUUUGGUCGUAGACCCGAAACCAGGUGAUCUACCCUUGGUCAGGUUGAAGUUCAGGUAACACUGAAUGGAGGACCGAACCGACUUACGUUGAAAAGUGAGCGGAUGAACUGAGGGUAGCGGAGAAAUUCCAAUCGAACCUGGAGAUAGCUGGUUCUCUCCGAAAUAGCUUUAGGGCUAGCCUCAAGUGAUGAUUAUUGGAGGUAGAGCACUGUUUGGACGAGGGGCCCCUCUCGGGUUACCGAAUUCAGACAAACUCCGAAUGCCAAUUAAUUUAACUUGGGAGUCAGAACAUGGGUGAUAAGGUCCGUGUUCGAAAGGGAAACAGCCCAGACCACCAGCUAAGGUCCCAAAAUAUAUGUUAAGUGGAAAAGGAUGUGGCGUUGCCCAGACAACUAGGAUGUUGGCUUAGAAGCAGCCAUCAUUUAAAGAGUGCGUAAUAGCUCACUAGUCGAGUGACACUGCGCCGAAAAUGUACCGGGGCUAAACAUAUUACCGAAGCUGUGGAUUGUCCUUUGGACAAUGGUAGGAGAGCGUUCUAAGGGCGUUGAAGCAUGAUCGUAAGGACAUGUGGAGCGCUUAGAAGUGAGAAUGCCGGUGUGAGUAGCGAAAGACGGGUGAGAAUCCCGUCCACCGAUUGACUAAGGUUUCCAGAGGAAGGCUCGUCCGCUCUGGGUUAGUCGGGUCCUAAGCUGAGGCCGACAGGCGUAGGCGAUGGAUAACAGGUUGAUAUUCCUGUACCACCUAUAAUCGUUUUAAUCGAUGGGGGGGNACGCAGUAGGAUAGGCGAAGCGUGCGAUUGGAUUGCACGUCUAAGCAGUAAGGCUGAGUAUUAGGCAAAUCCGKUACUCAUUAAGGCUGAGCUGUGAUGGGGAGAAGACAUUGUGUCUUCGAGUCGUUGAUUUCACACUGCCGAGAAAAGCCUCUAGAUAGAAAAUAGGUGCCCGUACCGCAAACCGACACAGGUAGUCAAGAUGAGAAUUCUAAGGUGAGCGAGCGAACUCUCGUUAAGGAACUCGGCAAAAUGACCCCGUAACUUCGGGAGAAGGGGUGCUCUUUAGGGUUAACGCCCAGAAGAGCCGCAGUGAAUAGGCCCAAGCGACUGUUUAUCAAAAACACAGGUCUCUGCUAAACCGUAAGGUGAUGUAUAGGGGCUGACGCCUGCCCGGUGCUGGAAGGUUAAGAGGAGUGGUUAGCUUCUGCGAAGCUACGAAUCGAAGCCCCAGUAAACGGCGGCCGUAACUAUAACGGUCCUAAGGUAGCGAAAUUCCUUGUCGGGUAAGUUCCGACCCGCACGAAAGGCGUAACGAUUUGGGCACUGUCUCAACGAGAGACUCGGUGAAAUCAUAGUACCUGUGAAGAUGCAGGUUACCCGCGACAGGACGGAAAGACCCCGUGGAGCUUUACUGUAGCCUGAUAUUGAAAUUCGGCACAGCUUGUACAGGAUAGGUAGGAGCCUUUGAAACGUGAGCGCUAGCUUACGUGGAGGCGCUGGUGGGAUACUACCCUAGCUGUGUUGGCUUUCUAACCCGCACCACUUAUCGUGGUGGGAGACAGUGUCAGGCGGGCAGUUUGACUGGGGCGGUCGCCUCCUAAAAGGUAACGGAGGCGCUCAAAGGUUCCCUCAGAAUGGUUGGAAAUCAUUCAUAGAGUGUAAAGGCAUAAGGGAGCUUGACUGCGAGACCUACAAGUCGAGCAGGGUCGAAAGACGGACUUAGUGAUCCGGUGGUUCCGCAUGGAAGGGCCAUCGCUCAACGGAUAAAAGCUACCCCGGGGAUAACAGGCUUAUCUCCCCCAAGAGUUCACAUCGACGGGGAGGUUUGGCACCUCGAUGUCGGCUCAUCGCAUCCUGGGGCUGUAGUCGGUCCCAAGGGUUGGGCUGUUCGCCCAUUAAAGCGGUACGCGAGCUGGGUUCAGAACGUCGUGAGACAGUUCGGUCCCUAUCCGUCGUGGGCGUAGGAAAUUUGAGAGGAGCUGUCCUUAGUACGAGAGGACCGGGAUGGACAUACCUCUGGUGUACCAGUUGUCGUGCCAACGGCAUAGCUGGGUAGCUAUGUGUGGACGGGAUAAGUGCUGAAAGCAUCUAAGCAUGAAGCCCCCCUCAAGAUGAGAUUUCCCAACUUCGGUUAU